AUGUGUCCUGUCACUGGGUCCCAGGGAGAAGAGCUCAGCACCUCCCUCUCCACAUUCCCUCCUCAGGAACCUGUAGAGGCUUCGGCUGUAGGACCCCUCGACCUCCUUUCCUCAAAACUAGACAAAUCCAGAGUCCUCAGCCGCUCCUCACAGGACAUUCCUUCCAGCCCUGUCACCAGCUUUAUUGCCCUCCUCUGGACGCAUUCAAGGACCUUCACAUCCUUCUUGAAUUGCAGUGCCCAGAACCGCACACAAUACUUGAAACUGGAGACUUGGAGAAAAAAAGGAAGCAGGGGUGGGAGAAACAACAAGAUUAAGCUGCCAACGAAGGAAACACCAGAGUUUGGGAGCGGCACCCUGGUUCCGGGAGCGAGGCAAAGAACACAGAACUAAAAGACCUGGUGAGUUAUUGGGGAAAAAUGAAUUCGGGGGUAAAAUUCACCUUGUGUUAACCACAGUCUGUUGAAUUAGCCUGUGUGCUUAUAUACAAGGAUAAUAUAAUGCUAUUAAUUUAAUAGCGUUAAAAUAAUUUAUAGUGGUUUGAUUUUAAAGCUCAAAGACACUAUUUUAGAGAAUUUAAUUGUCAGUCUUUAGUAAAAUAAUGCCUUUUCCAUUUUUU
rnacentral:lncRNA from 1 species